rnacentral:sRNA from 1 species
GCUCUAUAUUUCCCAUUUGUAAAAAGAUAAGAAAAAUUUCAAUUGUUGACUGAUUUUGAUUGAAUUAUAAAAAAAGCGUCACUUCUCACGUCCCAUACUGCAAGUGAAUGCAAAUACAUCAAAUACAUAGGUGAAAAUAUAUUUUAUAUCAGCACUUCUAAAAUAUAACAUAAUAUGUUCUUGUACCAGAAACACUUUUAAAAAUGGCGAAUAAUUGGGGCCAAAUUUAACUCAUAUCAUAUAUAGUUCUUUCAUUAUAUUUUUUUCGGUUAUAAAUCUAAAAGAUACGAUUGGAUUAUUAUUGGUGGUGGCAUACAUGUAUAUGCAUUUUGGACCUAUACACAAAGUGACUGAUUUACACGUAUGUUAAAACAUGUUCUUUCAAUGAAUUAAUUAUUUUCCUAUUGUGAAAUAGUUGGCAGGAUGUAUUGCUAUGAUUAUUGUCCAAACAAAAUAUUCAGUUAUUCUAAUCAACUAAUACUUGAUGCAUGAGAUAUUAUUUACUUUAUUGGCGUGAAAAGUUUACAUUAAAUUAUUG